rnacentral:tRNA from 1 species
GGCGGGGUAGAGAAGCAGCAACUCGCAAGGCUCAUAACCUUGAGAUCGCCGGUGCGACUCCGGCCUCCGCAACCA